rnacentral:lncRNA from 1 species
GAUGCAGCAUAUUACCUUGUUAAAAUCAGAAAAAUUCUAGAUUCUAAAAAGCGUCUGGCUCCAAGGGUUCCAGAUAAUUUAUUGUGGACCUGUCUUUCCAGACAGACUCUCAAGUCUUCCUUGUCUACAGUCCAACUGCUUCCUAUCAUUCAUCAGCUAGGUCAUCUGUGAGGGCAGACAAACCUGGCUAAGACUCAGAAGCCUCAGGGCCCUACUGGAAACUCAACACCACGGACAGUAACACACACCACAGUUGAUGCCAAAUGUGCUAACAUCUUGGACUUGGUUUUCCUACACAGAGAGAGAGAUUCGCGCAAUGCACCAUGCCAGAGAGGUGCAACCAUUAUUUUCCAACAGUAAAGCACAAGGUAUAGGGUUGGGGUGGGAGACAGUUGAUGUCAUGGUUCUGGGCAGAGGAAAUAAAUGUGUUUCUUAUCUUUUUCCUCCAGCUGGUUCCAGGCUCUUCUCCUCUGACAUUAUUAAAAGCCUGGCAGGUACUUUGAAUGUUUGUUUCCAUCAAGUUUCCUUGCUUUUCUAAUCUGCAAAUACUUCUAAAUGGUUUCCUUUCCUGAGUUUACUGUGUUGCUUAGCCACUAGAUAUUUCCCAGCCUCAUCUUCCCAGCAACCAGGUAACUAGGUGGAGAUCUUGUUAGAUGUGGACAGGAAGUUCCUAGUGGACUCCUGCCAGCCUUGGCCACUCUAAUAAAAGGGAAGUGAAGUAAAUCACAGGUUCCCUAUGUUAUCCACACCCAGAUUAUCAUUAGGUCUCUGAGGAGGAAAAGAGGGGAAGUGGUUUCCAUCACUACCAAGUGCAGUCAC